AACGAACGCUGGCGGCAGGCCUAACACAUGCAAGUCGAGCGCCCCGCCAGGGGAGCGGCGGACGGGUGAGUAACGCGUGGGAAUAUGCCCUUUGCUACGGAAUAGUCUCGGGAAACUGGGGGUAAUACCGUAUACGCCCUUUGGGGGAAAGAUUUAUCGGCGAAGGAUUAGCCCGCGUUGGAUUAGGUAGUUGGUGGGGUAAUGGCCUACCAAGCCGACGAUCCAUAGCUGGUUUGAGAGGAUGAUCAGCCACACUGGGACUGAGACACGGCCCAGACUCCUACGGGAGGCAGCAGUGGGGAAUCUUAGACAAUGGGGGCAACCCUGAUCUAGCCAUGCCGCGUGAGUGAUGAAGGCCUUAGGGUUGUAAAGCUCUUUCAGCUGGGAAGAUAAUGACGGUACCAGCAGAAGAAGCCCCGGCUAACCCCGUG
rnacentral:rRNA from 1 species